GGUUAAGCUACAAAGAGCGUAGGGUGAAUAGCUAGGCACCAAGAGCCGAAGAAGGACGUGAUAAGCUGCGAAAAGCUUUGGGUAGGAGCAAAUAUCCAUUAAUCCAGAGAUAUCCGAAUGAGGGAACUCACUUAGAGCAAACAAUCUAAGUAUCCAUAUAUGAGUAAAGUAGUAUAUGAGAAGGGAACGUGGGGAACUGAAACAUCUUAGUACCCACAGGAAAAGAAAGAGAAAUCGAUUCCUAGAGUAGUGGCGAGCGAAAUAGGAAGAGCCUAAACCAUGAGUAGUAAUACACAUGGGGUUCGGACCACGAUAUAUUAUCAAUAAUUCUAAUAGAAAUGUUUUGGAAAAGCAUACCAUAGACGGUGAAAGUCCAGUAUAUGAAAGAAAAGUUGAGAUUAGUGGUAUCCAGAGUAGUACGAGACACGAGAAAUCUUGUAUGAAUGAGCGGGGACCAUCCCGUAAGGCUAAAUACUACUUGGUGACCGAUAGUGAACUAGUACCGUGAGGGAAAGGUGAAAAGAACCCCGGGAGGGGAGUGAAA
rnacentral:ncRNA from 1 species